AUUCCCCCUUCCGCCACUACUUCUGGUUCCGCCUCGCCCCCUGGUUUCCCCCCCCCAGUUUGGGCAUGCGAGCCAAAAAAGGUUCGCCACCACUGGACUAGGUAGUCUUAAUGGAAGGAUUUUUAAAAUGUUCUGCUGGUGGCUUAGAUGCUCUGUUUCACAUAUUGCUACUGUACUUUUGAUGACAGAUUUGUGAGCACUAUUCUUCAUAUAGUGGAGAAAAUAUAGAGCAGAACUAGAGGAAAUAAUUCAAAUAUGCUGCCAUCUUGCUAAGGAGUGAGAGACCAUGAGGCCUUCUCAAUGAGCCUACUCUUUUCUCUCUCCUCCAUGUAAAAAAAAGAAAAAAGCUUUUGACUGCCACCAUAAAAUAAAUGCAUAUGUAUUUUUGCUCCUUAUUCUCUCAUUCACUGUAGGAAUGAGAAAUCCACUGGGCAUUUAUGAUUCUAGUAGGAAGUAAGAGAAAAACAUUAAUGGCUUUGUAUACUGAAGUGGAUUACCACUGGAUUAUGUGAUAAAAAUAAAUCCCGGUAAUGAAAUGCUUUCUACUUCAUGAAAUAUAUCCAAGCAUGAUCACUGCUGAAAAAAAUGAUUGAAACAACAGUUAAAUUAAUCCAUCUACAUAUGUUGUUUGGUUGAAAUAUAUGGAAUGAUGUAUGUGUGCUAAUCUCUUCAAAAGGCUAUAAAUGAAAAGGCAAAAAUCUGUGCUUAUUCAUACUUCCCCCUUUCCUUUCAUUGCAGCAGAAUUUUAGACCUUUUCAGUAGUGAUGUAUACUGAAUUGAAUGUCUUGAAGAUUCUUGCUUAAAAUUCCCCUGCAUCUUACAAAGAUGCCAUUGUAUCCUGCUGCUCAGUCUCUUAGCCUACAACUCAGUCCCCUCAAUAGCACUGGGAAAUGGUUAUCUGAAAGAAAAAUCAUAAAAAUUAACAACUUCAGGCUGUACUGUUUCUUAUAUCCAAGGACUGGGCAACAAGCAUCUGUGAGCCAUGUGAAUACCAAUACUCCAGGUGUUCUUUGUUUAUGUUGGAAGCAAUCCAGUGGUGCUUCUGGAAUGAAAGGAUCCAUCAAUGGAGUGUGCUGCCAUAGUCCAGGAGAUGUCCAACUGUUUUCACAUCCUCAUAUUCUUCAGGGAGGUUCCUUCCUUGUUCCUCCUCCUUACUCAUCAUCAGUACCACAUCAUCCAGACUUGUUCUCUCAGUCCUUCCCAAGCUGGAUUUGCAGUGAAUGAAUGAGAUGCAUGCAGACAGUAAAUGAGAUGGUAGAGAUUGGCUCAGAAGUGUUUGAGUACUUUUUCACCCAAAGAUACAAAUGCACACAUACAUUUUUGUUAUAUUUAAAAGAUUUCUAUCUGAUUGUCCAGCAAAGUUUUAAAUGUGACUAACAAUAACAUUUUCAAGCCCAAUGGCCAACUUAAGUUCUAAAAUACAGUAAUGAAAAAAAAAAUCAGAAUUAAUAAAACAGUGUUAAUGUGGCA
rnacentral:lncRNA from 1 species